rnacentral:rRNA from 1 species
UACGUAGGGUGCGAGCGUUGUCCGGAAUUACUGGGCGUAAAGAGCUCGUAGGUGGUUGUCGCGUUGUUCGUGAAAACUCACAGCUCAACUGUGGGCGUGCGGGCGAUACGGGCAGACUAGAGUACUGCAGGGGAGACUGGAAUUCCUGGUGUAGCGGUGGAAUGCGCAGAUAUCAGGAGGAACACCGGUGGCGAAGGCGGGUCUCUGGGCAGUAACUGACGCUGAGGAGCGAAAGCGUGGGGAGCGAACAGG